AUUCCUCUCUCUCAUCCCUGUAGCUCGUAAAAAAUUUCUAACGUAACUUUAAAAUUUAUAAUGUGCACGUUGUUGAUAAAAAUUUUCUCGGCUACGUUUCACUCUACAAUCUCGCAAGCUUGUUGAUGCUGAAAAUAUUCUAUACCCUUCAUUAUAUGUAUCUACAUAUCUGUGUAAUAAAUAUUAUUAAUUUUCAAACCAUAUGGGAUUAGUAGACUCUCAGACUCUGUACAUGCAAACAUGAAAUAUAUUAUUAUCAAAGAGAUUAUUACAAUAAAAUCAUAAGCGACAUAUUAUGUAUGUUUCGUGCCACAUUUUUAUACAUAUACCUUUUUAAUAUCUUUGUGCGAAUUAAGAACUAUAUUUUUUGCAUUUAUGGCAAAAUUUUUAUAAUUUCUUUUACUUUUUAUAUUGCGUUCUCCAAAUCGCCAGACGUAAAUAAAGGCGACAUAUUAUGUAUUUUUCGUGCCACAUUUUUAUACAUAUACCUUUUUAAUAUCUUUGUGCGAAUUAAGAACUAUAUUUUUUGCAUUUAUGGCAAAAUUUUUAUAAUUUCUUUUACUUUUUAUAUUGCGUUCUCCAAAUCGCCAGACGUAAAUAAAGGCGACAUAUUAUUAUUUUUCGUGCCACAUUUUUAUACAUAUACC
rnacentral:misc_RNA from 1 species